rnacentral:rRNA from 1 species
GCAAUCCAUGAGUAAAGUGGCGACCGGGUGAGUAACACGUGACUAACCUACCUCCGAGUGGGGAAUAACUCCGGGAAACCGGGGCUAAUACCGCAUAACAUCGCAAGAUCAAAGCAGCAAUGCGCUUGGAGAGGGGGUCGCGGCUGAUUAGCUAGUUGGCGGGGUAACGGCCCACCAAGGCGAAGAUCGGUAUCCGGCCUGAGAGGGCGCACGGACACACUGGAACUGAAACACGGUCCAGACUCCUACGGGAGGCAGCAGUGGGGAAUUUUGCGCAAUGGGGGAAACCCUGACGCAGCAACGCCGCGUGGAGGAUGAAGCCCUUUGGGGCGUAAACUCCUUUCGACUCGGACGAUAAUGACGGUACGAGUGGAAGAAGCACCGGCUAACUCUGUGCCAGCAGCCGCGGUAAUACAGAGGGUGCAAGCGUUGUUCGGAAUUAUUGGGCGUAAAGGGCGCGUAGGCGGUGCGGUAAGUCACCUGUGAAAUCUC